CGCGUAGGCGGCAAGGCAAGUCAGAUGUGAAAUCCCCGGGCUCAACCUGGGAAUUGCAUCUGAAACUGCAGUGCUUGAGUCCUGGAGGGGAUAGUGGAAUUCCCAGCGUAGCGGUGAAAUGCGUAGAUAUUGGGAGGAACACCUGCGGCGAAGGCGGCUAUCUGGACAGUGACUGACGCUGAUGCGCGAAAGCCAGGGGAGCGAACGG
rnacentral:rRNA from 1 species